UACGAAGGAUUCGAGCGUUAUCCGGAUUUACUGGGCGUAAAGCGUGUGCAGGCGGGGUGAUAAGUGGUGUAUGAAAUCUCUGGGCUUAACUCGGAGGGGUUAUGCCAGACUGUCACUCUAGAGUGCGAGAGAGGAACGUGGAAUUCCUGGUGUAGCGGUGAAAUGCGCAGAUAUCAGGAGGAACACCGGUGGCGAAGGCGGGUCUCUGGGCCGAUACUGACGCUGGAGGAGCGGAAAGCGUGGGGAGCGAACAGG
rnacentral:rRNA from 1 species